rfam:Triticum aestivum genome assembly, contig: Triticum_aestivum_CS42_TGACv1_scaffold_112484_2AS
UAUCUACUCCCUCCGUUCCUAAAUAUAAGUCUUUCUAGAGAUUACAAUAGGAACUACAUACGGAUGUAUAUAGACAUAUUUUAGAGUGUAGAUUCACUCAUUUUGCUCCGUAUGUAGUCCCUUUUGGAAUCUCUAGAAAGACUUAUAUUUAGGAAUGGAGGGAGUACAAG